rnacentral:tRNA from 1 species
CGUUCUGUGGUUUAGUUGGUUAAAGCGCCAGUCUAGCGAAAACGGAGUCGAGGGUUCGAAUCCCACCGGAACGC